rnacentral:lncRNA from 1 species
AUCCUCACAAAUGCAGUGAUGUUACAUAGAUAUAAACUUCAUAAAUAUUCAGAACUAUACUCUUAGAAGUACAUGCAUACUUAUUAAAAGUAAAUGAAAACCAAAUGGGUUACAAACACAAAAUCCAGGGUAGCAGUUGGGAGAGAAGCAGGCAUCUAUGAUUGGGAAGGGAACACUGGGGACUUGAGAGUUCUUAAUAUAGGUGGUAACACCCUUUCAAUGGCUGUUUUAUGUGUUAGCUUUACUGGGCCAUGGGAUGGCCAGAUAGCUGGUUAAACAUUAUUCUUGGGAGUGUGGAGAGACUAUUGGAAGAGAUUAGCAUUCAAACUGGUGGACUGAGUAAAGCAAAUAGUCCUCCCCAAUGGGAAUAGGCAUUACUCAAUCUAUUGACAGCCUGAAUAGAACAAAAAGGUAGAAGAAGUUUUAAUUUGCUCUUGGCCUGACUGCUUAAACUGGAACAUACAUCUUCUUAUGAACAAGGAGCUCCUGGUUCUCAAGCCUUUAGACCUGGACUGGAAUCUACACCACUGGCUCUCUGGCCUUCUAACUGCACCACCAGAUUACCUGAGUCUCCAGCUUGCAGAUGGUGUUGUGGGAGACACCUGAUGAGAGGUGACUGGAUCACGGGGCCAGUUUCCCCCAUGCUGUUCUCAGGAUACUGCGUGAGUUCUCAUGAGAUCAGAUGGAUUUUUAAGGAGCUCUUCCCCCUUUGCUUCCUUCACACACUCUCUCCUCUGCCUUUUGAAGAAGGUCCUUGUUUCCCCUUCACCUUGCACCAUGAUUGGAAGUUUCCUGAGGCCUCCCCAGCUAUGUGGAACUUCUCCUGCUGGUGCUCCCAUUUGCUGAACUCAACUGGAAGCCAGAGGAUUCUCCAGCUUGUUGGUGCAGUCCAUGGAUAUUAGCCUCACAGGGCACACUGUGAGGGCACAAAGGAUGGAAAAGAAUAAAGAGUGGCCUAGAGGGUCAAACAGAAAAAGACUCUAGUACAGAACCCAUGAAAAAUUUACUGCAGAUGAAAGGGAAGAAAACUUCACGCUAAAGCAAAAAAGAAGUACAGACUUCUGAAAAAUAUUUACUAUAGGAACUAGAAGAGCAUUUUAAAAUAAGCUUGGUAUUCUCAGUAGGAUAAAAAAAAGAGCAAAUCUCUAUGAAACAGAAAGCUUAUAAGGAGAAAAAAAUAUUCAGAGGUAGGUAAAGCUAGGUGAAAUAAUGACUCUUUUUUAAAAAAUUAAAGAUAUAGAAGCAAAAGCAAUAACCAGAAAAACUGACAUGUUUGAAACUCAAAUAAGUUCUAGUCAAUAUGGCAAAUUAGCCAAUGUAGAAGAUCUUUCCUCCCACUUCAAAUGUAGAAAUGAUCCAUGAACAUUUUACUAAUAAAAUACAACAGUUAAAAUUUAAAUUCAAAGCCAAGCUUAAAACUAAAAAUGAGAUAUCCCUGGUACUAGAAAAUAAGAGAAAACUUAAAGCACUAUUGAGUGAGAAUGAAAACAAAUGUCUUAUAGAACAUCCUAAUUUGAUAUAUCUCUAAAUGCCUGGAUUUUUGACAACUUCAGUGAGAUGCUUAGGGUGUCUAUAGGCCUGGUGCAUAGGAGAUGAAAGUUUUAUACAUAAAGAGAAGAGAUUUAUACAUAAAGAGAAGAAUCUGCCAGAGUUAUCCUGUCCAAUUAAGAAAAUGUGCACAUAUACACCAUGGAAUACUAUGCAGCCAU